rnacentral:rRNA from 1 species
ACGUAGGUGGCAAGCGUUGUCCGGAUUUAUUGGGCGUAAAGCGAGCGCAGGCGGUUCCUUAAGUCUGAUGUGAAAGCCCACGGCUCAACCCCGGGAGGGCAUUGGAAACUGGGGAACUUGAGUGCAGAAGAGGAGAGUGGAAUUCCAUGUGUAGCGGUGAAAUGCGUAGAUAUAGGGAGGAACACCAGUGGCGAAGGCGACUUACUGGUCUGUAACUGACACUGAGGCUCGAAAGCUUGGGGAGCAAACAG